ACGACUUUGGACAAUAAAGGUGAGGCCCUUUGUAUCUCGAUGGCAACUCUACAACGGAUGUUUUGCUUUCAGGCAUAUGUAAUUACACCACUUUGAUUGCCGACUGUCUUCGACAGCGACGAUGCUCUACCUGGGCGUGGUCUAACUCUACCUCGGCCAGGUGUGGUGCCACGAGGAAGCACCCAAGGUACAUGUGUGUGUGUGCGCGCGCGCAAAUAUAGAUUAACUACAGAUAAGUACUUCGGUCCCAUCAGUCGCCACCAAGUAAAUCAGCAGCAGCCAGUAGUAGAAGAAUUCGGUUUGACAUUUGAUUUAUGCUGGGUAAUUUGAGGUGUGCCUGUUGGUUAUGCCAUUUAUCUUUUUUCUGUCAAGCAAUUGUUUUCUAUUGCUGUGAUAGGCCUGAAUCAGUUUUUGUUUUUUGUAUACACCGAGAUGAAGCUGAAAGUUAUGACGAUCAGAUCAAAUACCAAAAGUUGUAACUCGGAUAUACCAUGAUAUUUUGAAUGGUGUGCUACCUUAAUAGCUUUCAGUGGUAUGUUGUCUGUUCAAUUCCGAAAAUAAGAUUUGUGGUAGGUUGACCUGUUGACAGCUUUCAAUGCUACUGUAUGUUGUUUGUUCAACUCCGGUCACCGAAGCUGAAUUUCCAUACAAAACCAAGAUUUGUUCUAGGUAAUUAUUUAGGCACCAAGCAACAAGUCCAUGGAUUUAAAAUAUGCACACAACGACAAACAUUUGUGUGGAUUUUCUGUAGGUGUCUCUGUUGACCUGCAUGUUUGCCUGAUGAGUGAAACAUAAGUGAUUCCAGUUCUACAUAUAUGUAACAUGCUAUUUUUGUUGGCUUAUAUUAACAUGGGAACCGGGUAAGUUUCUGCAAAUGUAUUCUUUUGGUUGUUUUGUGUCAUUUGUAUCCCGGUCAACAACUUGAGAGAUUUACUUUGAGUAAAUUCAUGGUCUGAACUGGCUGUAGUAUUCAUUGAUCAAAUAAUUGUCGUCUAACGAGUGUUAUUGAUAAAGGAGGAGCUUGAGAAAAUGAAGGUAACUAUGAAGCUUCCUCUAUACAUGAUGAAGUGGGCGAAUGCGAAAUACAACAGGAGUUAGAGAAAGGCACACCUUGCACUUAUCGUUUCCUGAGUGCCAAAGAAAGGCUCACUGAAAGUAUCAAAUUUAUUUAAUGCGAGGUAGUGACAAGCUUUAGAGUUCAACCUUUUAGUGGAGUGCUUUUAUGCAUAUAAUCUUAAUAUAAUUCAUAAUUGUAAAUAAUGGGAAGCAAACAGUGGUACAUACAUUGUAUGCAUUGUGAAAGAAAAUAUUUUUAUAAUCGUGCUUGUGUUUAACAAGAAUUGGUAGAAACAAUUAUGUUUUAAUUUUAAUGAAUAUAUAUUACACCUUUUGUAUAAACUAAGUCAUAUUGUCGCACUAUCAUUUUCUUUCCUUUUGUUUGUUGGUUCACCUUUUUUCUCCCGUUGCAACGCACGGGCUAUUUUGCUAGUAAUAAUAAAGUACAGAUUGACUCCUUGGGUUCACCAUCACAAUACAAUUUCUUUCUGUGAAUUUAUGCUUUCAGUUUGAAUUUAAAACAUAUACGCG
rnacentral:lncRNA from 1 species